UAGCCAUGUUAUGGACAUGAAUUUAUGAGAUCCUUAAAUCGCUCCUAACAUUGGAAGAAGGUCUUAUCCUCUUUUUGCCCAAAAUUCAUGAUUUCUUUCCUUAGAGCCU